AAAUCUUAGAGAUUUUCUGGAGAGUGAGAAAUGCCUUAAAAUAAAAUAAAUAAAUAAAUAAAAAAUAAGAGGGAUAAAAGGACCUGCAGUUCAAAUUGAGUCAGCUUAAUUCCAAUACACAGUUAGACACAGAAACAAAUCGAGCAAUCAAUGGUCAAAUAAAAAUGUACCAGGAACCAUCAUUAUUUGUGCAGUAGACCGUGUAUUGCAGAGGCUCUCAAUCAAUUCAAUUUAAUUGGACCAAUGUGAUCCUCUUCUGUAUUAAUGUGGCUCCUGUUGACAUGCAAGCAAGAUUCAAAAUUAUUAUUGCUUCUGGACUUGAGUAAGAUGUUUGUUCUGUUUGUCAUUGGGAUCAAGAGGUUAGCCUUGGCUGGGCACUGUGGCUCUGGCCUGUAAUCCCAGCACUUUGGGAGGUUGAGGCGGGUGAUCACUUGAGGUCAGGAAUUUGAGACCAGCCUGACCAACAUGGUGAAACUCAUCUCUACUAAAAAUUCAAAAAAAAUUUAGCCAUGCAUGGUGGUGCAUGCCUGUAGUUCCAGCUACUUGGGAGGCUGAGGCAAGAGAAUUGCUUGAACUGGGAGGCAGAGGUUGCGGUAAGCCAAGAUCAUGCCACUGCACUCCAGCCUGGGUGACAGAGCGAGACUCCGUCUCAAAAAAAAAAAAAAAAAAAAGUUAGCCUGCUGGAUUACAGACAAGUACUGCAUAUUCCACUGGAUUUCUAGUUGAUUAGUGAGUGAUAAUUCUUUUUAAAAACCACCCUUCCAACCCUCUUUCCUUCAAGCUAUCCCCUUAAGAGCCAAACUGCUGGAAAGAUUUCAUCUCUACCCCCUCCCUUUUAUUAACACCUCACCCACUGCAGUCAAAUUUUCACUCUCACAGCUCUGAAUCUAUUCUGCCCAAAUUCAUUAACGACUUCCUUAGAGAGAGAGAGGCCAGGGACGGGUUGGGGGGGCAAAUGUGAUCUCUUUUUUUCUUUUUCUUUAUAAAAUAUUUUUAACAUAGAAAAAUAAAGAAAAAUAUCUUAAGCUCAGAAAAACCGCUUAAUUGGUGGU
rnacentral:lncRNA from 1 species